AGACUGUGUGUGUGGAGGUGAUGGUGCACAGCUAGACUCACUGGAGGUUGGGGUGUCGUCCCCUCUCAGUGUCAUCAGUGACUAGCCACUCUGUGUGCCCUGCUGCAGCUGUCAUUGCUACCCAGGACUGGAGGAGAUACAGAGCAGCUGAGGAUGUCCCAAAACCACAGAAGUAAAGAUGAAAAGAAGAAAAGGGAACCUGCAACUAAGUUUGGAAGCCAGAAAGCGGGCUCAGAGGGGACCCCUGAACCCAUGAUCAACCUCAAGAUUGCAAUAAUUUUGUUCCAAAAAGGGCGAAGCAUGCAACAAUCCCACCAGAUGUGCAUCAUCGAACCCGUUUCAUUAUUACAUCGCCAGCACGUAUCCGGAACACCGGGAAACAUUUUAGCAAGUGUCAGGGGACAUCUAUACCAUCGCGAUAAGACCUUGAAUUGCGUUUCAAUCACUGAAUAACUAUUUGAGCUUGCAAAAGUGGCCUGAAAACUUUUUUUCCCAGUCUCCUCAGAUAAUUCAAUCUGUAGGUCUUGUAAAUUUGGGGAGAUCCGGGAACCUAUUCUCAAUCAGAAAUCUAUAGCAUUUUGUGAGAAAAUGCACAGGAUGGGAAGAGUCUGAGCAUAUGUUCUCAAAAAUCGUCAAGGGUCUAGUGAUGCUUGGGCGGAAGUUACUCCCCAAUACAAAGUGCUUCAGCUGGAGGUAUUUCCAAAUCUCCGAUGGCGGGAGGCUCCAUUUCAAUUGCAAAGUAGGGAAAGUGAUUAUUUCAGCUGGCUAACACGUGUCACCCCCAUCAGUAUCCAUGAAUCAAACCCCCGGCCAGAGACCCCCGGUGGAAAGUCUGGGUUGUGAAAUAGUGGGGUCAGAGGAGAAAGUUUGGAAGAGACAUAUGGGAGAACUCUAAGCCUAUUCCAGCGUGAGUGUAGGGCCAAUGGUAGGGUGUGCAAUGAUAGGUAUCUUUGAGCGCCAGGGAUAAUAAGCUAUGGGAGAGGAUAAAGCUGCACCCUCUAUAAGUACCCAUUGUUUAGUGUCAUACGAUCGUAUCCACUCCAUUAUUCUAUUGAGUAGAAUGGCAUCAUAAGACAAAGAGAAAUGGGGCAACUGAAGACAACCCAUGUGUUUGCGACGGAAAAGUAUGGCAUGUUGAAAACGAGGCCUUCUGUUACCCCAAUCAAAAUCUCUGACUAAAUUGUGUGAUAAGGGGGAUGAGGACUGGGAGCAUCUGGAGGAGAUAUAGGACCCUGGGUAAAACAUUCAUUUUAAUUACACUAAGUCUCCCCAGCCAGGAAAGUCUCUUAUUGCCCCAGUCCCGAAACUCGGAGCGCAGUGUAGUAAGUAAUUUUUUGAAGUUAUCAUCAAAAAGGCGUGCUAAGUCCAUAUUCAAUAUAACCCCCAUGUAUUUAAAGCUAGAGGGAUGGCAGAUAAAUGGAAAGGAUUUUUUAAGGUCCUCAAGGGCUGGGUAGGGAGCUGACACAUUCACUGCCACUGACUUAGAGGGGUUAAUUUUAAAAUUAGACAGAGAGCCAAAUCUACUGAAUUCGGACAUCAGGUUGGGGAUGGAUAUCACUGGGUUCGAUGUGACAGCUAACAGAUCGUCUGCAAACAAGGCAAGUUUGUAUUCUCUACCCCCUACAGUGAUUCCUGCAAUAUUUGGAUUAAGUCUGAUGGAUCCAGCUAAAGCCUCCAUGCAGAGGAUGAAAAUAAGGGGCGAGAGAGGACAGCCCUGUCUAGUUACGUUCCUAAUCAGGACUGGUUCAGACAGGGCUCCAUUAAUUUUGAUCCUCGCAGUAGGGAAAUUAUAUAGUGCAAAAAUGCGGCACGGGCUAACAGGUCCAAGCCCUAGGUAUCUUAGGACUCCCUCCAUGAACGUUAACUCUAUCAAAAGCCUUUUCGGCAUCAGUGGAGAGUACCACUACUGGGGUGUGGCUUUGCGAGGCUAGAUGCAUCAAAUCAAUUAUUUUGGUUGUGUUGUCACGGGCUUCCCACCCAGAUACA